UUUUUUUUUUUUUUUUUUUUUUUGUACACACAAGGUACAUUUGCUGUUCUCCAUUACAAAUUAACAAAACAUUUUUUCCUAACUGUAUUAGUUUACUAGUACAGUUUACUGGAUAGUGGACAAACUAUCAGUUGUACUUUGUGUUUCUCAUAUGCUUUCUCAAAUUUGAGAAUUUGCUGAUUAUUAAAAUAGUUUUUAAAAUUUUUUUUUUAAGAAGUGAAACACUAUUUCAGAUUACACUGUCUCUGUAUAAGCUGUCAUUUCAGCUAACAUCACCAACAAUGUAUUUUUCCUGUACUGUAAUUGUUUUAGGCAUGACUAUUUUCUCAUAGCAUGCAGCUAGUCUUGCUUAUUAGAAAUAAUAAGUAUAUAGAUAUAAACAUAUUCAUAUAAUACUUAAUUAGAAAUAUUUAGUUUAGAAUUAGUUAAGUGAUGGCUUGGUAAAAAGAAAUGUCUGGAUUUAUUAUUUAUCAAUUAAAACCACCAUAGAAAUAUUUUAUGUUUGUAUGAUUAUUCUACAUUUAAGAUGGAAUGAUUAGUUCAUUUCAAACUAUCAUUAUUUCAAGAGCAUUUCAUGAUUCCUCUUCUGUUACUACAGUUUUUUUUUUUCGCUAGGAGACUUAGCAAGAUUUGUAUCUAGCAUAAGAUUUUGUUGUUGCUAGAAGGCUGAGUGAUCAGCUGCCCGACAUUGGACCAGUAUCUCAUUUCCUGUUUUCUGCAGGUGUCUAUUGACAUAUAGGAAGUAAUUUUUUCCUGGCAGUCAAAUUAUUUUACUUGGUUUGGAUGGACAAUCUUGUUGACUGGUUUUCUUGACACUGAAAUGAAUCAAUAAGGACACAAUCCAUUCUAUGUUCAUGAAGCUGAGGUUGUCAUCCCAGUAAACUGCUUAUUAUGCAUUACCACUUACACCUACAUGUGAGAGAGGAGAGCCAAUGUCUUGUAGUCUCAGAUUCCAAGCUGUGUGAAAAACUCGGACUCCUGGUUCCAAGAACCUAAGGAUCAUAAAUGUUGUGCACAAAAUAUCAUGCUAGUGUUUUCUGGGUGUAAUACCUGUUAAAAUUGACACAAAUUAAAGCAACAUGUGGAGACUGUGGGAGGCUUUGAUAUAAUAAAUCCUAGGACCCUUUUUUUCAUGCUUUAUGAAGUUACCUUUUCAUUUAGGCUGAAGUUUCUUUACCAUUGAUUUAAUUUAUUGCUUUGUUUUUUCCCAUUUUAAUUUGCUACAUAUACAACAUCUUCUCCAGUAUCUUACCUUUAAAUCAAUUUGUUGCUUGCAAAGCAGUUGUCUCACUUUAGUUUCUACAACAUAUCUACAUGGGACUCUAAUAGCUAAAUAAUUUCCUCUUUUGUUAUUUAAUUUUACACUUAUUGGGUAAGUGUACACAUUGGAAAUAUUUUCUUUUGCUUCUUAGUAUCUAGAGGCUUCUACUGAAGUACUCCUGAAACUGUUGUGUCCUUCAGUUUUAACUGCUUGGCUUGGUUAGCUUUACCUUGAAGACUUUCAAUUUUCAAUGGCUUUUCAAUAUAUAAAUUAAAUGUUUCACCUGAAAUUUGAUUGAACAUAGAUGCUUUCAACACCUUUACUCAUUACCUGUUAAGUAUGUUCAUUAAUCAACAUUUCCUAUUUUAAAUAAAAAUGUAUUAUUCUGACACUUGUGAUUACAGUCUCCUAGCAACUUUCUCCAACCUGUCCUUUUCAUUUCUAUGGUCUAAGGCCAGAAAGGAGUGAAGAUAACCCUAAUUCUGCACGUGGUUUAAUCCUUUUCCCCAUGUGGUAUAACUUUAAUUUGUUAAAGGAGCUGAUAUCUGUAAUUUUAUUAGACUAAUGAUAAAGUACAGUAUUAAACUUCCAUUCUACAUGUCAGUGUAACCUAUAUCAUAGAAAGAAAAAUCUUUUCCCACAUAUUCACUUGCAGCCUGCAGUUAGCAGGCUGAUUCUUUCUCACACAGAAAACUCCAGCAAGGCAUCUUAAAGGAAAAACUUAAUUCAAUAGGUUUUUUCAAUACUUCAGUAAGAAUCAACUUUUCUUCAUUUUACAUGCUGCUCUCCUCAAUCCAAGUGGCUGCAUGAGGUAAAUUUUCUCGUCCCCAGUUGCCAAGUGCCUUCUCCUUGUUGAAGUCCUCCUUAAGCUUUUCUCUGAAAUUACUUCCUUUUUUUAUUUAUGUCCAUAUAUCUAUAGUAUUUUUUUUCUCCUGGAACAUAUUUUUGUGUCCUGUCACAGUUCAUUCUUACAAAAUUGUGUAAACUCUUCUCCUUGGGUGCUUGAUCUUACAAUCUCUGGCACCCUGUAAGACAGCUGCACGGCUUUCAGGAGAGGAAAGUCUGUAAUUCUUUAAGAGUAGAUCUUAAAAAUAAUAGUUCAUAAACCAUCAUAUAUCUUUAUAUAUGUAUAAACUUACAUAUUAAGAAACCCAUUCUUCCUUGCUAUUAGGGUGCAAUUUCUCAUUUUUCACCAUACUUGAAUUUAGGGCUGAACAGAUCUGUUUGCGCUGGUUUGCACUUACUCCAUAGCUCCAUCUUUAUGGAUACACAAGGAGAAAGCAUGACUAAUGACAAAAUCAGUGUUCAUCCUUUCUAUGUAAACCAAAGCUUUGAAAUUAAGUAUCUUAUCCUGUACUUGAAUUUAAAUUUGCUAGUCAUCCAUAUUGUUUACAACACUAUUUAAUAGAGACAUGCAGGAAAAAUUCUGUAGAUUUUUGAAGGAGCGAAAACCUGCAUAUGCUCACAGUUUUAGUAUGGGCUCAAGCUUUUGUUUCUAUAAUCUUCAUAGGGCAAAUACAGGUAGCUUGAGUGCACUCUCCUCUAGGAGAUAUUACAAAUUCAUUUUUAUUUCGUUGAGAAAACAUCCUGAGCCAACAUCCUGGUCCUGUGUGGUUUGGAGCCAGAUAUAAGUUUAUAAAGAAAGAGCCUAGGAGACAGGCUCUUAAGUCAUGCUUAAACCCAGUCCAGGCUUUGCCCCAUUGUCUUUGCAGAGAAAGAACUUGAAUGAGAAUGAAGAUACUAUUUCUGUGGCACCGUUUUUAAGAAAACAUGGAUUCUAGGCUGGAAACAUGGGCACCAGCAGUUUGAACUCCUUUGUUUAUUCUAAGAGUCACAGGAGGGAAACCACACAAGGGUUUUGCCUGAGAAAAAAAUGAACUGGAGAAGCAAUAAAGAAGUAGAGAGUUUGCUGGGGCACUCUCAGAUCCUUCUGCAGAACCAGUGAUGUGAAAGUUGAAACUGAUGCUUCUUUUAUGACUCCCUAAUUCUAUGAUUUUUUUUUUUUUAAUGGGGGUUAGUGGAAGAAGGCAGCAUGCAUCCUCUCUGUUUUUAUCUACUAUUGAGCUCAGUGACACCGAACAAUCUGAGAAUACUUGCAAUACAUGGAGAAUACUUACCAUGUGAAAUGCAUUCAAAAUGGCUUAGAAAUUAAUUCUCUGUGUCUGUUUAUAUUCUCUGUGGCUGUUUAUAAAUACACUCAGUUGGGCUCAAGCAUUCAAAGCCACCUCCUUAUGAUAUGUAGUGAAUUUACUAACAUAGAUGGGGAACUGUGCCAUGUAUACUGGCCAGAGUACCAAAAAACCCAGAUAGGCUUAGUUUUCUGGUGUAGUAUAGCUUAGCUGUUAAAUGUUGAACUCCUGUGGCUGAACUGGUCAACAAAAGUCAUUUGGAUAUAUAUUUUCCUGUUUUCUCAAGCUCCGAACAAAAGCUUCUUCUUUAGGACUUUCACAAUUAAUUUUCAACAUCAAAUUACAUACUAUUUUUUUGAUACAGAUACAAGAUAAGGCACUGGGGAAGUGCACAUUGAAACACUUUCAAUCAUUUACCAGCAGCUCUGGAUAACCAGGGAGGCCCCUGUUCAGUGGAAGUUGGUAAAUGUGACACUCAUCUCCAAGAAGGGAUAGAAAAACGAUCUGGGAACUACAGAUCUGUCAGCUUGACCUCAAUGCCAGGGAAGAUCAUGGAGCUGAUCAUCUUGAGUGCCAUCACACGGCACAUGCAGGACAAUCAGAGCAUCAGGGUGAGCCAGCCUGCAUUUGUAAAAGGCAGGUCCUGUUUGACCUUGUCCUACCUGCUGAUGCAGCCUCACAUUGAGUCCUGUGUGUAGUUUUGGGUAGUACAAUAUGAGAAAGACAUUAAGCUGUUAAAAAGUGCACAAAGGAGGGCAAAAAAUAUGGUGAAGAGCCUUGAGGAACAGCUGAGGUAACUUGGUCUGUUCAGCCUGGAGAAGAUGACACUGCAAAGACAUUGAGGUGCUGGAGUGUGUCCAGCAGGACUGUGAGGGGUCUGGAGCCCAAGCCUUAUGAGGAGCAGCUGAGGAAGCUGCUGUUGUAUAGCCUGAGAUCCCUCAGGAGGAUCCCUCAGGACACUCAGGAGGGACCUGUUUGAUCUCUACAACUCCCUGAGUGGAAGUUGUGGCAAGGUGGGAUUGUGGGGAAGUUUCUUUGCCUGAACAACAAGUGAUAGGAUAUGAGGAACUGGCCCCACAUUGCACCAGGAGAGGAUUAGAAUGCAUAUUAGGAAAAACUUCUUUAUGGAAAGGUUGUCAAGCAUUGGAAUAGGCUUCCAUGGAACUGGUUGAGUCAUCAUCCUGGAAGUAUAUAAAAUGCCUGUAGAUGUGGUACCUGGGGACAUGGUUUGGUGGUGGAUUGAAGUGGUUGGAUUUGAUGAUCUUAGAGGUCUUUUACAAAUUAAAUGAUUCUUUGAUUCUAUGACUCUAAACAGGAUCUUGCUGAUUUCAGUUCAUUGAUUCACAGGUUUGGAGGAAUGUUCUCUCUAUGCUAUGUUAUGAAUAGUAGCAAUAGAGAAAACAAAAUGGGAAAUAGAAGACUUACAGAAAGACUUAAAGCUGUAUAGAACAUUUACCUGCUGACUUUAUCUGUGCAUUUUGCUACUAUCAGCUUCUUCUCUAUGGGCUAAAUUCAACUCCAUCUUGGAGGUAUCAAUAAAAUUAAUUCCUCCUCCUCAAAAAAAAACCCCCAAAAAAACCCCAAAAAAACCUCUUUCUGGUUCCUGCUGCUUGCCAACUACUUUUCUGGUUUCCCUGCUUCAAACUUUCUCCACUCCUUUUCACUUUCAUCUUAAUAUAUUCCUUUGUCUCCUUUCCCUCCUUCAGCUCUCAGAAUUGAAUUUUGUAUCUACAUAGUUUAAUACAGUGGAAAUAUAGUAGGGUGGAUUAUAUAUGUUAUACAGAAUAGAAUUAAACAAAAUUGCACACACUAGCAAGAUGUACAUUUUAGGUCUAUCCUUUAUUUCUGGCUCAUUGUGAAAAAACGGAAUUGAAUUAACCAGUUAAUUACUGGUUCUUAGAAAAAUAAACUCUAUUUUAAAAAAGGAAGAAAAAAGGCAAGUUUGUUGGACAAUGAAAAUUAGUGGCUGAUUACUAUGGGAAAUUUCUAUAUUUUGAAGCAUUAAACAGGAAGGAAAGAAUGGAAGCAAGGAAUGAAAAAAGCAAGAAAGAUGAAGGAGAAGAGAAAAAAGGAAGAAAAGAAGGAGAGACAACUAUGUAACCCAGUUACAUUUUGUUUAACCUCAAAGGAAGAUUUUGCUCUCCUGCAAGUUAUUCACUUAUGCACUUGCUAUGAAAUCAGCAUUGUGAGUAAGUUGAUAGCCUGCACAGGGAAGGAAAGAAUGGCAAGCUGAUUACUUUAUGGUUAUUUCACAAAACUGAUGAGACAGCAAAUGAUAUUCAAUCCUAUUAAAAAGACUAAGCACAGCCUUUUUUCCACCCUUUAAAAAAAAAAAUCCUACCUUCCUCGUGCUGGGAUUGGAUGAUAUGAUUCUACAAUUCAGGGAGUCUGCAGAACAUCUGCAAUGAAAUUGGUUUUCUGUGGAAAACUGAUGAAUCACUUACUGCCAAUGACUGCAAGGAAAAGUACUUGUUUAUGCCCUUAUGUAAUGAAUUUUUAUGAGGUGAAGUUUUCUGUUUAUAAAAAAUACCCUUUCAGUUGCUGCAGAUGUAAAAUAAUAGAAUUCAGAAUUUAGACCACCACAUUACUGAAAAGGCAGUCAGUAGCCGAAUAUCAUCAUCUACUUACAAUAUACCAAAAAGGGGUUUGUACUUCUAUAAUAGAAUUAAAAUUUCCAUCCAUUCCAUAAGGUCUUGCAAGAGAACCAAAAAAAAAAAAAAAAAAAAAAAAAAAA
ensembl:lncRNA